rnacentral:rRNA from 1 species
UACGGGGGGGGCAAGCGUUGUUCGGAAUUACUGGGCGUAAAGGGCGCGUAGGUGGCCUUUUGAGUCAGACGUGAAAUCCCCCGGCUUAACCUGGGAACUGCGUCUGAUACUGGGAGGCUUGAGUUCGGGAGAGGGAUGUGGAAUUCCAGGUGUAGCGGUGAAAUGCGUAGAUAUCUGGAGGAACACCCGUGGCGAAGGCGGUUCUCUGGGACGGUACUGACGCUGAGACGCGAAAGCGUGGGGAGCGAACAGG